rnacentral:rRNA from 1 species
CCAAUAGCGUAUAUUAAAGUUGUUGCAGUUAAAAAGCUCGUAGUUGAAUUUCGGGAUCAGUUGGUCGGUCGUGCCUCGGUACGUACUGGUCAAAUUGAUUCCUACCUUCUGACGAACCACGAUGUCAUUAAUUUGGUGUCGCGGGAAAUCAGGACUGUUACUUUGAAAAAAUUAGAGUGUUUAAAGCAGGCUCGCGCUUGAAUACAUUAGCAUGGAAUAAUGAAAUAGGACGUUUGAUUCUAUUUUGUUGGUUUCUAGGAUCGACGUAAUGAUUAAUAGGGAUAGUUGGGGGCAUUAGUAUUCAAUUGUCAGAGGUGAAAUUCUUGGAUUUAUUGAAGACUAACUACUGCGAAAGCAUUUGCCAAGGAUGUUUUCAUUAAUCAAGAACGAAAGUUAGGGGAUCGAAGACGAUCAGACACCGUCGUAGUCUUAACCAUAAACUAUGCCGACUAGGGAUCGGAUGAUGUUAAUUUUUUAAUGACUCAUUCGGCGCCUUACG